GAUGAACGCUGGCGGCGUGCUUAACACAUGCAAGUCGAACGAAGCACUCUAUUUGAUUUUCUUCGGAAAUGAAGAUUUUGUGACUGAGUGGCGGACGGGUGAGUAACGCGUGGGUAACCUGCCUCAUACAGGGGGAUAACAGUUGGAAACGACUGCUAAUACCGCAUAAGCGCACAGGAUCGCAUGAUCUGGUGCGAAAAACUCCGGUGGUAUGGGAUGGACCCGCGUCUGAUUAGCCAGUUGGCAGGGUAACGGCCUACCAAAGCGACGAUCAGUAGCCGACCUGAGAGGGUGACCGGCCACAUUGGGACUGAGACACGGCCCAAACUCCUACGGGAGGCAGCAGUGGGGAAUAUUGCACAAUGGGGGAAACCCUGAUGCAGCGACGCCGCGUGAGCGAAGAAGUAUUUCGGUAUGUAAAGCUCUAUCAGCAGGGAAGAAGA
rnacentral:rRNA from 1 species